AGGUCAUGGUGUGGGCAAUUCCUAAGCAAGCUCUUGUAUCUUUCCCAAGCUUCAUACAGAGAUUCUCCAGGUUGUUGCUCGAAGUUGGCAAUGGCUUUCUUUGGCCC